UCCAGCGGUAGUCAGCUACCCAUAGCUGUUCAGUGCCUGUGAUAGUGUUAUUCUGCUGGGAGAGAAAUGUGCUGCUGAGUUGCUCCUGGCACUGCCAGUGCUGUUCUAGUGCUAGGUGGUGCCAGGUUUUGGCAGCACUCUGCAUGCUUGAGAGUGGAGUAACUCCUCGGUGGAGUUAAUCCUAGAUUGGAUGCAGACAAU
rfam:Phalacrocorax carbo contig103172, whole genome shotgun sequence.